ensembl:snRNA U1 U1 spliceosomal RNA
GUAUUUAUUUGGCAGGGGGGAUACCAUGAUCACGAAGGUGGUUUUUCUUAAGGCUAGGUUUUCCGUUGCACUUUGGAUGUGUGCAUUGGUCCCUGUGGUUUACCGCAAAUGUGGGAAACUCGACUGCGUAAUUUGUGGUAGUGGGGGACUGCGUUCGCGCUUUCUUCUG